GCCCAGACUCCUACGGGAGGCAGCAGUGGGGAAUAUUGCACAAUGGGGGGAACCCUGAUGCAGCGACGCCGCGUGGGUGAAGGAGCACCUCGGUGCGUAAAGCCCUCUCGGCAGGGAAGAAACAGACGGUACCUGACUAAGAAGCCCCGGCUAACUACGUGCCAGCAGCCGCGGUAAUACGUAGGGGGCAAGCGUUAUCCGGAUUCACUGGGUGUAAAGGGAGCGUAGACGGCGACGCAAGUCUGGGGUGAAAGCCCGGGGGGCAACCCCGGGAAUGCGCUGGAAAAUGCGUCGCUGGAGUACGGGAGGGGGAGGCGGAAUUCCUGGUGUAGCGGUGAAAUGCGUAGAUAUCAGGAGUAAAACCG
rnacentral:rRNA from 1 species